GGGGUCGUCUUGGCUUCGACAGGAAUAAGAGUCUCUAUUUUGCAGGUCGGAUGUCUACGUCACAGACAAAACAAAAUAACUGGAAACAGAAAUUUAGCAGUUGCAUACGCUUAAUUAGCGGCAACUACUUCCCUACUACUUCUGCUCUUGAGUGGUAACGGAAGUUCAUAAAGAGAGCUAUAAUAUAUCCCAUUUCUAUAAGAUAUAUCGAACUUUUUAGAAUAGUAAGUAUUAAGUUUUGUUAAUUUAUUAGAUACUUAUGAAACGAUAAAAUUAACUAAACCUGUAGAUAAAUUUAGAUGAAUAUUUUUGGACAGGGGUUCAACUCCCCUCGACUCCACCA
rnacentral:tmRNA from 1 species